UUUUUCAGUAGUUUAAGACAUGCAAAUCGUUGUUUCCAAAGUCCUUAAUGAAUUAAUAUUUUUAAUAUUAAUGGGAUCCGGGGAUAAGGUGUAGAGGUGAGUAUGUUAAAUAAGAUACCCUAUAGUCUUCUUAGCUAGGAGAUACAAAGUAAAGGAAAAUUUCUGCUAUAGGAUUCUAUUUAAUUUGAUUAGGUAGUUGAUAGGGUAACGGCCUACCAAGCCAACGAUCAAAAGUCAAGUUUGAAAGAACCUCUGGCCACAUUGGGGAUGAAAUCUCCCAAGUAGUAAUAACACUACCAGCAGUCGAGAAUAUUAGUCAAUGCUCGUAAGAGUGAACUAGCUAACUGAAAUCAUAGAAUUUUUUCAAAUUCAUGAUGUCGUAAGGGAAAAUAAUGAUAAUACCUUACUAUGAGUGUCGUCCAAAUCUGGUGCCAGAAGACUCGGUAAGACCAGAGACGCAAACGUUAAUCAUCAUAAACAGGCGUAAAGGGUUUGUAGGCAGCUUUUAUAGGAUUCUUUUUAAAGAUAAUCUAAAUUGAAAGCUAGAAUCAAAAAGAGGUUAUAGUGUAUAACGCCUAGAGGAGGGCUGAUAUCCGUAGAUCCUAGGCAGAAUACUCAGGGCGAAGGCCACUCUCCACUAAUGAUUGACGCUGAGAAACGAAGGUUAGGGUAGGAAAUAGGAU
rnacentral:rRNA from 1 species